UGCAGUCGAGCGCGCCCUUCGGGGUGAGCGGCGGACGGGUUAGUAACGCGUGGGAAUAUGCCCAAAGGUACGGAAUAGCCUCUGGAAACGGAGAGUAAUACCGUAUGUGCCCUUCGGGGGAAAGAUUUAUCGCCUUUGGAUUAGCCCGCGUUAGAUUAGGUAGUUGGUGGGGUAAUGGCCUACCAAGCCUACGAUCUAUAGCUGGUUUUAGAGGAUGAUCAGCAACACUGGGACUGAGACACGGCCCAGACUCCUACGGGAGGCAGCAGUGGGGAAUCUUGGACAAUGGGGGCAACCCUGAUCCAGCCAUGCCGCGUGAGUGAUGAAGGCCUUAGGGUCGUAAAGCUCUUUCGCCUGUGAAGAUAAUGACGGUAGCAGGUAAAGAAACCCCGGCUAACUCCGUGCCAGCAGCCGCGGUAAUACGGAGGGGGUUAGCGUUGUUCGGAAUUACUGGGCGUAAAGCGCACGUAGGCGGAUCGGAAAGUUGGGGGUGAAAUCCCGGGGCUCAACCCCGGAACUGCCUCCAAAACUAUCGGUCUAGAGUUCGAGAGAGGUGAGUGGAAUUCCGAGUGUAGAGGUGAAAUUCGUAGAUAUUCGGAGGAACACCAGUGGCGAAGGCGGCUCACUGGCUCGAUACUGACGCUGAGGUGCGAAAGUGUGGGGAGCAAACAGGAUUAGAUACCCUGGUAGUCCACACCGUACACGAUGAAUGCCAGUCGUCGGGUAGCAUGCUAUUCGGUGACACACCUAACGGAUUAAGCAUUCCGCCUGGGGAGUACGGUCGCAAGAUUAAAACUC
rnacentral:rRNA from 1 species